UACGGAGGGUGCAAGCGUUAAUCGGAAUUACUGGGCGUAAAGCGUGCGUAGGCGGUUCGUUAAGUCUGUUGUGAAAGCCCCGGGCUCAACCUGGGAAUGGCAAUGGAUACUGGCGAGCUAGAGUGUGUCAGAGGAUGGGUGGAAUUCCCGGUGUAGCGGUGAAAUGCGUAGAGAUGUGGAGGAAUACCGAUGGCGAAGGCAGCCCCUGGGAUAACACUGACGCUCAUGCACGAAAGCGUGGGGAGCAAACAGG
rnacentral:rRNA from 1 species